rnacentral:rRNA from 1 species
AUUGAACGCUGGCGGCAGGCCUAACACAUGCAAGUCGAGCGAGCGGCGGACGGGUGAGUAAUGUAUGGGGACUGCCCGAUAGAGGGGGAUAACUACUGGAAACGGUGGCUAAUACCGCAUACUAUCGGAUAACCCAUAUGGGAUUAGCUAGUAGGUGGGGUAAAGGCUCAACUAGGCAACGAUCUAUCGCUGGUCUGAGAGGAUGAUCAGACACACUGGGACGGAGACACGGCCCAGACUCCUACGGAGGCAGCAGUGGGGAAUAUUGGACAAUGGGCGAAAACCUGAUCCAGCCAUGCCGCGUGUAUGAAGAAGGCCUUAGGGUUGUAAAGUACUUUUAGCAGAGAGGCGGUACCCGCAGAAGAAGCACCGGCUAACUCCGUGCCAGCCGCCGCGGUAAUUC